rnacentral:lncRNA from 1 species
CAAUAGCAUCCAAGGAAAUGAUAUGUAGUUAAAAACUUUCAGUACAUUUGUUUUUCAUAUUUAGGUGACGUUGGAUUUGAAGAAGUGGGACUCCUUUAAAAAAGUUAACAGAUUAACAUUCUAACGGAGGUAAACAGACGAGGACCUGGUGGACAAAAUGGCUACCAUGGCGUCACCUGGCGACGCUAUCGAGGGAGCAGCCAAUGAUGAGUUCAAUGACAUCAUCAAAUGGAGAUCUGAUGAGCACGAUGCAGUACAGAAGAAAACCUUCACCAAAUGGAUAAAUGCACAGUUCUCCAAGGUAAUGCCAAAGUGUGGUAGGCUAUAUCCGAGCCUGUUCACACAAAGGUUGCUUAGUUAAAGCCACCAAUAACUUUAGUUAAACCCAUCGCUAAUUUAACUUAAGCCCAUCACUAAUUUAAGUUAAACCCACCAAUUAUUUUGUUAAAUCCACCAGCACCAGCUAAGAAAAUAUUGUUCUGGAAACCUCCAACACUGAUGCUGAACUGAGCUAGGAGUUUGAAGACUGAAUGAAGGCUGAAUGAAGUAGUGUGAGCAGGUUAUUUCUGUCCAAACAGACUGUUUUGUUUGACUGUUUCAGACUAAUAACUUCCCCUUUGAACACUAACCCUGACCUUCUCUUCCCAGGCCCAGGAGAAUAACAGAUUCACUGCAGGAAAGAAUAGAUAGCCUAGCGGAGCACUAAGAGGACAUUAGCAUGGCUGGCUCCCCUAUUACAGUGUAUACAGGGAAAACGCUUCAACGCUAACUCGAUUUAGCUAUUGUCUUCUUGAUAAAUUAAUUGGUCUUCACUUGAGUCUGGUUAAUCUUCUCUGUGUUAAUCAGAAACAUGCUAAUGUAACAUUGAUGCUUCUGUCCCUCUCCUCGCCCCAACCUGGGCUCAAACCAGGGACCCUCGGUCUCCCACAAAGCAUUGUUACCUAUCACUCCACAAGAGCCUUGGCACUUGUAGAGCAAGAGUAACAACUGCUUCAAGGUUUCAGAGCAAGUGACGUCAACGAUUGAUAUGCUACAAGCACGUAGCGCUAACUAGCUAGCCAUUUCACACCAUUUACAUUAACGCACGCUAAUGCUGGUCUGAUAAUGGACCUUGUGUGUGUGGUCUUGUUUUAGCUAUGUUCCCUCACUCCCACAGGGUAGUUAACAGAAAUAUUUUAAACAUGCUUAUACAAUUUCACUAAUUCGUUUUCCAUAAAUACAUGUAUGGACUCUAGUUUUUUUCUUUUUCUCAUUCGCU